UGUUAGUCAACGAAUAGAUCUAUUGGAGAUAACAGAACCCACAAUGGACGUUUUCAUAUUCGGCACGUUUCUACUGCUCGCACUACUUUGGUAUCCGCUAAAACUUUUGUUAAGGAAAUUAUGCCUUAGAUAGUGAUAUAAUUCAAAAGAUCACCGUCAAUUUUCCACCGAACUUAGCAGAUAUCACAAACAAUUCAAUGUUGUGUUCAAGGAGGAAACUAAGGACAGACAUGGAAAACAAUCAGAAAGUCAAUAAAUCUGAAUGUACUCGAUACUAUCGGAAGCAUAGGCACUUUCUUAGAUUUCUUAUUUGAAGGUGGGCGCCCAGUAGUUGAUUAGAAGAAUCUUCCACUCUGCACAUUUACAUAUUUUUACUUGCAUAAAUAAAAAAGAAAUGAUAAUUUAA